rnacentral:rRNA from 1 species
GGGGGGGUAAUUUGGACAUGGGCGAAGCCUGAUCCAGCCAUGCCGCGUGUGUGAAGAAGGUCUUCGGAUUGUAAAGCACUUUAAGUUGGGAGGAAGGGUUGUAGAUUAAUACUCUGCUGUUUUGACGUUACCGACAGAAUAAGCACCGGCUAACUCUGUGCCAGCAGCCGCGGUAAUCA